UAGGUGGAGCAGCCCAAUAGAACCCCUGUCUAAUCCUUUCACAACACAGAACCAUAAAAGGUCUUAAAGGGGAGGACUCCUCACCCUCUGUCCCUGCUACAGCAAGGUCUGCACCAGUGGGUCCCUCCCACAGGAGACAGCCCUUCAUGAAGUUCUCCAAGGAUGAAGUCUUCUGUGAAAACUGGAGAAGACACUGAUGGAGUUGAUGGUCUCGUAUCUACGCUAGAGCAGAAAAGGUACUAAGAAAAACAGUCCUGGACUGAAAAAGACAAAAGGGUUGGAGCUCUGUCCAGCCAUGUUAAACAGGAGGAAGAGGGAAUUAUCCUCCAUCAAAAGGAGAAAGAAGGUCACACAGGAAUU